CCAAUAUCUAGAUUUCCUCAUCUGUAAUUAAUACUGAAGUUCCUUUUCACCUGUAAAGCUAGUAUUUUCCUAUAUGCUUUGUUGGGAAUUUUGAAGUAAUGAAUCCCUGUGGCAUGUUAUAUUAAAUGAUUCGUGGCUCCUUCCAUUCCUGAGAAAACAGACAUUAUUUUCACCCCUGCUGAAGAAUUCAGUGAGGUUCAGGAUUUCACUAGUCUGGAUAGGAAAACGAUGUUAUUAAAUCCUUAAAAUAUGGGUGGAAAUGCAGAACAGCUGGAAGCAGAGCAUAUUUAUCAAUGGAGGAAGAUACUACAAUGGAAUACGUGAGCAGGGAGGCACAGCUGAAGUCUUGUCUUGGGUUGGAUCCAACCUAAUUCUCACAGGAAGCCUGGAUAAUGAUUUUGAUCUACUGCCUCA
ensembl:lncRNA